rnacentral:rRNA from 1 species
AGAGUUUGAUCAUGGCUCAGGACGAACGCUGGCGGCGUGCCUAACACAUGCAAGUCGAACGAGGUCCAUCCUUCGGGAGAAGACCUAGUGGCGAACGGGUGAGUAACACGUGAAGAACCUGCCCCGAAGACCGGGAUAACCCUCCGAAAGGAGAGCUAAUACCGGAUACCCCCACCGAACCGCAUGGUUUGGUGAGGAAAUGGAUUCCGCUUCGGGAGGGCUUCGCGGCCUAUCAGCUAGUUGGUGGGGGUAAACGGCCCACCAAGGCAUCGACGGGUAGCUGGUCUGAGAGGACGAUCAGCCACACUGGGACUGAGACACGGCCCAGACUCCUACGGGAGGCAGCAGUGGGGAAUCUUGCGCAAUGGGCGAAAGCCUGACGCAGCAACGCCGCGUGGGGAUGAAGGCUCACGGGUUGUAAACCCCUUUCAGCAGGGACGAAUCAAGACGGUACCUGCAGAAGAAGCCCCGGCUAACUACGUG